rnacentral:rRNA from 1 species
AUUGAACGCUGGCGGCAGGCUUAACACAUGCAAGUCGAGCGGGGGAGGUUGCUUCGGUAACUGACCUAGCGGCGGACGGGUGAGUAAUGCUUAGGAAUCUGCCUAUUAGUGGGGGACAACAUUCCGAAAGGAAUGCUAACACCGCAUACGCCCUACGGGGAAAAGCAGGGGAUCUUCGGACCUUGCGCUAAUAGAUGAGCCUAAGUCGGAUUAGCUGGUUGGUGGGGUAAAGGCCUACCAAGGCGACGAUCUGUAGCGGGUCUGAGAGGAUAAUCCGCCACACUGGGACUGAGACACGGCCCAGACUCCUACGGGAGGCAGCGGUGGGGAAUAUUGGACAAUGGGCGGAAGCCUGAUCCAGCCAUGCCGCGUGUGUGAAGAAGGCCUUUUGGUUGCAAAGCACUUUAAGCGAGGAGGAGGCUCUUAAGGUUAAUACCCUUGAUGAGUGGACGUUACUCGCAGAAUAAGCACCGGCUAACUCUGUGCCAGCAGCCGCAGUAAAAC